rnacentral:rRNA from 1 species
CCUACGGGUGGCAGCAGUGGGGAAUAUUGCACAAUGGGGGAAACCCUGAUGCAGCGACGCCGCGUGAGUGAAGAAGUAUCUCGGUGUGUAAAGCUCCAUCAGCAGGGAAGAGAAUGACAGUACCUGAGUAAGAAGCCCCGGCUAACUACGUGCCAGCAGCCGCGGUAAUACGGAGGGGGCAAGCGUUAUCCGGAUUUACUGGGUGUAAAGGGAGCGUAGACGGAGAAGAAAGUCUGAAGUGAAAGGCCGCGGCUCAACCGCGGAACUGCUUUGGAAACUUUUUAGCUGGAGUACAGGAGAGGUAGGCGGAAUGUAUAGUGUAGCGGUGAAAUGCGUAGAUAUUAGGAGGAACACCAGUGGCGAAGGCAGCUUACUGGACGGUAACUGACGUUGAGGCUCGAAAGCGUGGGGAGCAAACAGGAUUAGAUACCCGAGUAGUC